AGUGGGGAAUAUUGGACAAUGGGCGAAAGCCUGAUCCAGCAAUGCCGCGUGAGUGAUGAAGGCCUUAGGGUUGUAAAGCUCUUUUACCAGGGAUGAUAAUGACAGUACCUGGAGAAUAAGCUCCGGCUAACUCCGUGCCAGCAGCCGCGGUAAUACGGAGGGAGCUAGCGUUGUUCGGAAUUACUGGGCGUAAAGCGCGCGUAGGCGGUUACUCAAGUCAGAGGUGAAAGCCCGGGGCUCAACCCCGGAACUGCCUUUGAAACUAGGUAACUAGAAUCUUGGAGAGGUCAGUGGAAUUCCGAGUGUAGAGGUGAAAUUCGUAGAUAUUCGGAAGAACACCAGUGGCGAAGGCGACUGACUGGACAAGUAUUGACGCUGAGGUGCGAAAGCGUGGGGAGCAAA
rnacentral:rRNA from 1 species